rnacentral:rRNA from 1 species
AGUGAACGCUGGCGGUAGGCCUAACACAUGCAAGUCGAACGGCAACACAGUAAGAGCUUGCUCUUACGGGUGGCGAGUGGCGGACGGGUGAGGAAUACAUCGGAAUCUACUUUUUCGUGGGGGAUAACGUAGGGAAACUUACGCUAAUACCGCAUACGACCUACGGGUGAAAGCAGGGGAUCUUCGGACCUUGCGCGAUUGAAUGAGCCGAUGUCGGAUUAGCUAGUUGGCGGGGUAAAGGCCCACCAAGGCGACGAUCCGUAGCUGGUCUGAGAGGAUGAUCAGCCACACUGGAACUGAGACACGGUCCAGACUCCUACGGGAGGCAGCAGUGGGGAAUAUUGGACAAUGGGCGCAAGCCUGAUCCAGCCAUACCGCGUGGGUGAAGAAGGUCUUCGGGUUGUAAAGCCCUUUUGUUGGGAAAGAAAAGCAGCAGGUUAAUACCCCGCUGUUCUGACGGUACCCAAAGAAUAAGCACCGGCUAACUUCGUG